rnacentral:rRNA from 1 species
AGCGAACGCUGGCGGCAGGCCUAACACAUGCAAGUCGAACGAAGUCUUCGGACUUAGUGGCGGACGGGUGAGUAACACAUGGGAACGUGCCCUUUGGUACGGAAUAACUCAGGGAAACUUGAGCUAAUACCGUAUGUGCCCUUCGGGGGAAAGAUUUAUCGCCAUUGGAGCGGCCCGCGUCUGAUUAUCUAGUUGGUGAGGUAAAGGCUCACCAAGGCGACGAUCAGUAGCUAGUCUGAGAGGAUGAUCAGUAACAUUGGGACUGAGACACGGCCCGAACUCCUACCGGAGACAGCAGUGGCGAAUAUUGCGCAAUGGGCGGAAGCCUGACGCAGCCAUGCCGCGUGAAUGAUGAAGGUCUUAGGAUUGUAAAAUUCUUUCACCGGAGACGAUAAUGACGGUACCCGGAGAAGAAGCCCCGGCUAACUUCGUGCCAGCCGCCGCAGUAACAC